GACGAACGCUGGCGGCGUGCUUAACACAUGCAAGUCGAGCGGAGCGGCGAACGGGUGAGUAACGCGUGAGUAACUGCCCCCCUCUCUGGGAUAACAGUUGGAAACGGCUGCUAAUACCGGACAGUGGGGGAUGACUCGCGUCCUCUCAGCUUGUUGGUGGGGUAGUGGCCUACCAAGGCGACGACGAGUAGCCGGCCUGAGAGGGCGACCGGCCAGAUUAGGCGUAGAUACGUCCGAAACUAAUACGGGAGGCAGCAGUGGGGAAUAUUGCACAAUGGGGGAAACCCUGAUGCAGCAAGGCCGCGUGCGGGAUGACUGCCUUCGUGUUGUAAACCGCUUUCAGCCAUGACGCGGUAGUGGCAGAAGAAGCACCGGCUAACUACGUGCCAGCAGCCGCGGUAAUUC
rnacentral:rRNA from 1 species